GUGGUCACAGUUGGCGCCAGCC
rnacentral:miRNA from 1 species